UAGGUUGAACUACGCAGGCCCUUACGGACACCACAUCUCUGUGGCUUUUCCUGCGUAGUUCAACCUAGGUAAGGUUCUUCGCGUUGCAUCGAAUUAAGCAACAUGCUCCGCCGCUUGUGCGGGCCCCCGUCAAUUCCUUUGAGUUUUAGCCUUGCGGCCGUACUCCCCAGGCGGGGCACUUAAUGCGUUAGCUACGGCACGGAGACCGUCGAUAGGUCCCCACACCUAGUGCCCAACGUUUACGGCGUGGACUAC
rnacentral:misc_RNA from 1 species